ACUACCCUUUGUUCAGAAGAUUCUAUUGUCCAACAAAUAGAUGUAUUCCCUCCGAAGCGCUGUCUUGAUAACGGUAUAUCAGCGGCCGAGGGCUUGCAGACAACCUCGGCCAUGGAUUUCGAGUUACGCGCGCGUGACUAAGCCGGACAAACUGGCUUCCCAACCCGAUUUCACAACUUCCCUUCCGCCUCUCUACUAUGUUGUUUGUUAAUUUCAUCUUUCUCGUAGAUGCCGAUUUGCUGAAUAGUGUGUUAAAAGGGCCUUUUGUCAGGGUGGAUUAUGGAAUCGUCUCCGUUAACUUUGGCGCAUUCCCAUGCCCGAAAUGCCCUCUUCGAAACACACAAAUCUAACCCAGUAGCUGCCAGCGAGGAACACGACCUUGCAGCCGGAGAAUUUUCAACCGCAGCACAAGGCACCCUUGAUCCUGAGGCGUUGCGGACCCUCCAGCUCCUCGAGAAACAUCACAAACGGCUUGCAGAAAUUCUUAGAUUUCAACAUGAACACCCUUCGACCGCUUCUCCUGAGCCUACAAAUUCACCACCACCGACCCUUUCAACCGCCCAAACCAGCAAAUUUAACGCUCAAGUUGCCCGAGGAGCGUCACAUGCUGCAACUUCACCCCCAGAGAAUGUCCACCAACCACCUCGUCUAGCCACUCAGCAUAGAUCUCUCCAGCGAGAUACGAGUUCAAUAGCAAGCAAUCUGGCAUCCGCACGCGGUAUUCCUUCCCACCCGCCCCGAGCGAGUCUUGCGUCUCCCGCCGUUUCAACACAGAAUGCCGGAGCGAAAAUGACUGGUGUUCCAGGGCGCACGAGACUUGAUGGUACUGGCCUCGAUGCGCUAAACGCCGAUUUAAAGUCUCGCCCCGGCUUGGCUUCCAAGCGUAAACCGUCAUGGGCUCCAACCAGUCCCACAGAUAUCGUCGACCAACAAACAGUUCCCCCAGAGCCAAGUGAGACACCUAAACUUGGUUUUGGAUUCUCAACCGAUGAGUCGUUCCAGCGCUUUUAUUCGACCUUUGAGGGUCUCAUAUCCAAGUUUUCUGCCCCCCUAGCAUUUGCUAGUUUGCCUCUGGGCAUUGAUCCAACCAGCCAGAAAUCUGCAGCAAAUACGCGCCUCGACCGGAAUCCUGCCUCCGCAGACAUUUCCAGCCAUCUUACAGAACAAACAGACGUGAACAAGCUAGUAUCGAGAGCUGCACUGCGUGCCCUUCGGGACAGAGAUGGUUCCAGCCGCUCGCCAGGCCACUCGAAUCCUGCAGAAUCAUUCUACGUCGUCCCUACCGCGGGUGGAACAAUAUCGUACGCGGGCAUUCUUUCCCGAGCUGAAAAGGAAGCCCGUAGGGACAGCCUAGCCGACAGCCGUGACGACGAUUUUGUCGAUGCGCGCGAAAACCCGAUGCCCCCAGAAUCUUCGCCUACAGCCCGGACACCGGACAGGGAUCGAAAGCCAACUGGGGGGAGGCAUAAAGGAGCAGGCGCCUCGGAAAGCCGCUCGACACAGGCUGCAGCACAUCAUCAGGAUAUGAACACGAAGACCUUGGAAGAACUGCAACUGGAGAACCAGGCGCUGAAGCACCUGUCAGACACGCUGUCGAAGCGGCUGCACAUGUGGGAAGUCAACGCGCAGUCAUCGUCAUUAGCAUUGCAGCAGUCUCUCAAAGCAAUGCAGCACCAAUCCACCGCCUCACCUGCCCGCCAGCUCUCUCCCAUAGCGUCGACUGCGCCGCAAGCAUCCCAUAAUCAUGGAGUACAGUCGCCAUCACCACCGCCUUCAGCAGCCGGGGCGCUGGUGCCCUCGGGAGAGGGCGCGGCUGCGGGAAUGCCGCAAUCAUCCAACACUGACGUGGCUCGGAUUUUAGAGCUGGAAGAGCGCGCACGGAAGAGCGAGAGGGAGUUGCAGCGGGUGGGCCGCGAGAAUGAGAAGUUGAGAGAUGUGGUGGGGAGAUAUCGGG
rnacentral:sRNA from 1 species